CAAUAGCGUAUACUAAAGUUGUUGCAGUUAAAAAGCUCGUAGUUGAAUUUCUGGUCGUAAACGGUGGUCCGUUCCGCAAGGAAUGUGUGCCCGAAUUUAUGUCCAUCUUCGUGAGUAAGUGUGUAUUGCUUUAAUCGGCCGUGCAUACGACCUCCGUCAUUUACUGUGAGCAAAAUAGAGUGUUCAAAGCAGGCUUAUGCCGUUGAAUAUAUUAGCAUGGAAUAAUAAGAUAUGACUUUGGUGUAUCUUGUUGGUUUGCACUCCAAAGUAAUGAUUAAUAGGGAUAGUUGGGGGUAUUCGUAUUCAAUUGUCAGAGGUGAAAUUCUUGGAUUUAUGGAAGACGAACUACUGCGAAAGCAUUUACCAAGGAUGUUUUCAUUAAUCAAGAACGAAAGUUAAGGGAUCGAAGAUGAUUAGAUACCAU
rnacentral:rRNA from 1 species